GUGUCAGCAGCCGCGGUAAUACGAAGGGACCUAGCGUAGUUCGGAAUUACUGGGCUUAAAGAGUUCGUAGGUGGUUAAAAAAGUUGGUGGUGAAAUCCCAGAGCUUAACUCUGGAACUGCCAUCAAAACUUUUUAGCUAGAGUAUGAUAGAGGAAAGCAGAAUUUCUAGUGUAGAGGUGAAAUUCGUAGAUAUUAGAAAGAAUACCAAUUGCGAAGGCAGCUUUCUGGAUCAUUACUGACACUGAGGAACGAAAGCAUGGGUAGCGAAGAGGAUUAGAUACCCUCGUAGUCCAUGCCGUAAACGAUGUGUGUUAGACGUUGGAAAUUUAUUUUCAGUGUCGCAGCGAAAGCAAUAAACACACCGCCUGGGGAGUACGACCGCAAGGUUAAAACUCAAAUGAAUUGACGGGGACCCGCACAAGUAGUGGAGCAUGUGGUUUAAUUCGAAGAUACGCGCAGAACCUUACCAACACUUGACAUGUUCGUCGCGACUCUAAGAGAUUAGAGUUUUCGGUUCGGCCGGACGAAACACAGGUGCUGCAUGGCUGUCGUCAGCUCGUGUCGUGAGAUGUUGGGUUAAGUCCCGCAACGAGCGCAACCCUCACUUUUAGUUGCCAUCAUUUAGUUGGGCACUCUGAAAGAACUGCCAGUGAUAAGCUGGAGGAAGGUGGGGAUGACGUCAAGUCCUCAUGGCCCUUAUGUGUUGGGCUACACACGUGCUACAAUGGUAUUUACAACAGGAAGCAAGACGGCAACGUUAAGCAAAUCCCUAAAAAAUACCUCAGUUCGGAUUGCACUCUGCAACUCGAGUGCAUGAAGCUGGAAUUACUAGUAAUCGUGGAUCAGCGUGCCAC
rnacentral:rRNA from 1 species